AAGUCGUAACAAGGUCUCCGUAGGUGAACCUGCGGAGGGAUCAUUACGAGAGCUCCGAAAGGAGCGCUUCAAACCCGUGAACUUACUCUUGUUGCCUCGGUGGGCGGUCUCAGGGGAGACCUGAUGCCUCGGGGAGGUGUCCACCGAAGGACCAUUUUACUCUUUUUGUUAAGUCUCUGAGAGCAAAAGAAAAUAAUCAAAACUUUCAACAACGGAUCUCUUGGUUCUG
rnacentral:misc_RNA from 1 species